rnacentral:rRNA from 1 species
CCUACGGGUGGCAGCAGUGAGGAAUAUUGGUCAAUGGCCGGAAGGCUGAACCAGCCAUGCCGCGUGAAGGUCAGUGCCCUAUGGGCGUUAAACUUCUUUUGUGCGGGAGCAAUAAUGGUCACGUGUGGCCAGACGAGAGUACCGUACGAAUAAGCAUCGGCUAACUCCGUGCCAGCAGCCGCGGUAAUACGGGGGAUGCAAGCGUUAUCCGGGUUUAUUGGGUUUAAAGGGUGCGUAGGCUGUGAGGUAAGUCAGCGGUGAAAUGCCCCCGCUCAACGGGGUGAAGUGCCAUUGAUACUGCCUGGCUGGAAGGCGGAUGCCGUGGGAGGAAUGUGUGGUGUAGCGGUGAAAUGCAUAGAUAUCACACAGAACACCGAUUGCGAAGGCAUCUCACGAAUCCGCGAUUGACGCUGAUGCACGAAAGCGUGGGUAUCAAACAGGAUUAGAUACCCUUGUAGUC